rnacentral:rRNA from 1 species
AUUGAACGCUGACGGCAUGCCUUACACAUGCAAGUCGAACGGUAACAGGUCUUCGGAUGCUGACGAGUGGCGAACGGGUGAGUAAUACAUCGGAACGUGCCUAGUAGUGGGGGAUAACUACUCGAAAGAGUGGCUAAUACCGCAUGAGAUCUACGGAUGAAAGCAGGGGAUCGCAAGACCUUGUGCUACUAGAGCGGCCGAUGGCAGAUUAGGUAGUUGGUGGGAUAAAAGCUUACCAAGCCGACGAUCUGUAGCUGGUCUGAGAGGACGAUCAGCCACACUGGGACUGAGAAACGGCCCAGACUCCUACGGGAGGCAGCAGUGGGGAAUUUUGGACAAUGGGCGCAAGCCUGAUCCAGCAAAGCCGCGUGCAGGAUGAAGGCCUUCGGGUUGUAAACUGCUUUUGUACGGAACGAAAAGCCCCGGGUUAAUACCCUGGGGUCAUGACGGUACCGUAAGAAUAAGCACCGGCUAACUACGUGCCAGCAGCCGCCGUAA